rnacentral:rRNA from 1 species
UACGUAGGGGGCUAGCGUUGUCCGGAAUCAUUGGGCGUAAAGCGCGUGUAGGCGGUCCGGUAAGUCCGCUGUGAAAGUCGGGGGCUCAACCCUCGAAUGCCGAUGGAUACUGUCGGGCUAGAGUGCGGAAGAGGCGAGUGGAAUUCCUGGUGUAGCGGUGAAAUGCGCAGAUAUCAGGAGGAACACCAAUUGCGAAGGCAGCUCGCUGGGACGUAACUGACGCUGAGACGCGAAAGCGUGGGGAGCAAACAGG